rfam:Arthroderma gypseum CBS 118893 supercont1.19 mitochondrial scaffold, whole genome shotgun sequence.
UACGGAUUAAUGUAAUGGUAACAUAUUUGACUCAUGAUCAAUUUAUUUAGGUUCGAAUCCUAAAUCCGUAU